rnacentral:rRNA from 1 species
CCUACGGGUGGCAGCAGUAGGGAAUUUUCGUCAAUGGGCGCAAGCCUGAACGAGCAAAGCCACGUGAACGAGGAAGGUCUUCGGAUCGUUAAGUUCUGUUGAAGGGGAAAAAGAGCGGCGAGAGGACAUGCUUUCUGAUUGAUAUUACCCUUCGAGGAAGUCACGACUAACUACGUGCCAGCAGCCGCGGGAAUACGUAGGUGGCGAGCGUUAUCCGGAAUGGUUGGGCGUAAAGGGUGCGUAGGCGGCCUGCUCAGUCUGGAGUGAAAGGUACGGGCUCAACCGGUACAGGCCGUGGAAACUGGCUGGCUAGAGAGGAGGAGAGGGAGGUGGAACGCGAUGUGUAGCGGUAAAAUGCGUAGAUAUAUGGAAGAACACCAGUGGCGAAGGCGGCCGCCUGGCCUGUUACUGACGCUGAGGCACGAAAGCGUGGGGAGCAAAUAGGAUUAGAUACCCCUGUAGUC